GAAACAAUAGUACAUAAACGAGAAUCGUCCAUGUUUGUUAGCGUCGUCGCGACAACAGACUUGUGUGUUUCGAAAAAGGCGAACGAAGCCAACUGUGCGGUCCGUUUACCGAGAGCUCCGUAUUCCCCAGUGUAUACUAAAACCAUCGAUCGCGUUUUGCAUGAAUGAUUUCGCGGAGGGACACGAGAAAAGAGGGCCGAGAUGGUCGUCUGCCGGAAAAGAACGAUGGAGGAGAAAUUUCGGGAAGGCAUCGGUGAAAUAGAAAGGGGAAUUGGAAGUAGUAAAGUCUGUGUCGUUCGGCAUUCAGAAUGCAGAAAAGGAGCGAGGAGAAAGAGGAGAGUAGUGUAGGGUGGCUCGGCAGUUUGCGUGCAUGUGUUUCUCGUUCGUCCCUAUGCACAAGGAGAGAAGAAGAGUCCAGAGAACGCGAGUCGACCAUAGAGGAAAAGGAAGAAUUAUCGAAGCGUGCCCGUGGUCGGACAGAGAUAAUCGUGCCUACACCGGCUACGGAUAGAGUGAAAUGGAAGAAAAGGAGAACGUGAAACGGUUCGCCGAGGAGGCUGGUCAAUGGUAGGCCGGCUAUCGGAACACCCUUCUCGAAAACAAAGCCGGAUCUCACCUUGAUUUAUCGCUGAGUGCUGCCGCGGUGCUGUGUGUUCUGCUCCAGACCAGGUUGCAGCCGGGGUGAAUUCCCCGGCGAAAAUUAAUCCAUUAUCGGGUAAACGAAGACCG